GAGAGCUUGCUCUUUUAACUUAGUGGCGGACGGGUGAGUAACGCGUGAGUAACCUGCCUUUCAGAGGGGAAUAACAUUCUGAAAAGAAUGCUAAUACCGCAUGAGAUCGUAGUAUCGCAUGGUACAGCGACCAAAGGAGCAAUCCGCUGGAAGAUGGACUCGCGUCCGAUUAGCUAGUUGGUGAGAUAAAGGCCCACCAAGGCGACGAUCGGUAGCCGGACCGAGAGGUUGAACGGCCACAUUGGGACUGAGACACGGCCCAGACUCCUACGGGAGGCAGCAGUGGGGGAUAUUGCACAAUGGGGGAAACCCUGAUGCAGCAACGCCGCGUGAAGGAAGAAGGUCUUCGGAUUGUAAACUUCUGUCCUCAGGGAAGAUAAUGACGGUACCUGAGGAGGAAGCUCCGGCUAACUACGUGCCAGCAGCCGCGGUAAUACGUAGGGAGCAAGCGUUGUCCGGAUUUACUGGGUGUAAAGGGUGCGUAGGCGGAUCUGCAAGUCAGUAGUGAAAUCCCAGGGCUUAACCCUGGAACUGCUAUUGAAACUGUGGGUCUUGAGUGAGGUAGAGGCAGGCGGAAUUCCCGGUGUAGCGGUGAAAUGCGUAGAGAUCGGGAGGAACACCAGUGGCGAAGGCGGCCUGCUGGGCCUUAACUGACGCUGAGGCACGAAAGCAUGGGUAGCAAACAGGAUUAGAUACCCUGGUAGUCCAUGCCGUAAACGAUGAUUACUAGGUGUGGGUGGUCUGACCCCAUCCGUGCCGGAGUUAACACAAUAAGUAAUCCACCUGGGGAGUACGGCCGCAAGAUUGAAACUCAAAGGAAUUGACGGGGGCCCGCACAAGCAGUGGAGUAUGUGGUUUAAUU
rnacentral:rRNA from 1 species